UUCAUAAUUUAUUUAUAAUAGUUUAGAUUAUAUAGCUAUUAUAAGAUAUAUUAUUAAAGGUAUCAAUAGUAUAUAUGUGGCAUUGAUGUUGUUAAAAGUUGAUAUUUUACAUUUUAAAUAUGUCUCUUUUGUUUGAUUUUUUCUGAGUUUGAUUGUGAAACCCCAUCUACUAACAUAUUCAAAUAGUGUGCAAAAAGUGAUGUUACUAGAAUUUAUAUUCUACUUAUGUAGAGCUUUCUAAUAUUCCAUCUUUCUGAGAUUUUAAAGCAAUACAAGAUUGAAUUUAGCAGAAGGCUAAACUUCUGCUCUGGAGACAAAAAAAGAAGACAGCAAAAAAGGAUGACCAGCUAUAAUAAAGAAUAAAUAGACAAAAAAUUCUGUAUAUCUUGGUGUAGAUGAUUUAUCCUCUAUUUCUUAUAAUAAAACAAAAAAUAUUAUCAAACAUUAGGAUUUACCUGUGACUCCAAACUCUUUACAGAAUUUCAAUGUUUGCUCUGAGAAGUUGAAUGAACAAAAUUUAUUAAAUGAUAAAGUUGUAUCCUUGAAAGAUAUGCUGGUAUUAUUGGCACAAUGGGCAAGCAUUAAAGUUCAACUUGGUGAACUACAAAACACAUCAAAUUCAGUUAUAAAAAUUUACAAAAAAGUAACAAAGGUAUACUAAUUAUUGUAUUGCCUGAAAGAGUGUCAUUGCCAUUAAAAGCAGUAAAGAAUUCAAGUACUCUCAAAAAAAAAGACAAGAAAAUACUUAAAUAAAUGGUCAAUUAUUUGUCACAAAUUGGAGUUAAAGUUGAAGGAGAUUGUAUAUGUUAUUUACUAAGAAUAGUUUUUUAAAAUGGCCUAGCUGUAAAAUUAAACUAUGCAGAGAGAGGACAAAAAAUUGGAAUAGGAAAAAUGUUGAUUGCAUAUGUUGCUAUUGGUAAGUGGUUUAGAAAAGUUUAUUUUUUCAGUUUCAUUUUUGCAUAACAGAAUUACUUUCAACUUGUUAUGUUUCUUUGGUGCGUAAUUAAACAUACAACAAUUUUUUUUGCAGAAACUGUGAAAUCAAAUAAGCAUGGCUUAUGCAGACAUGUGAUAGAGAUAACGGAAGAAAAAAUAAUAAUCGUGGGCAUCAAAUAUCAUA